rnacentral:rRNA from 1 species
GACGAACGCUGGCGGCGUGCUUAACACAUGCAAGUCGAACGGAAAGGCCCUGCUUGCCGGGUACUCGAGUGGCGAACGGGUGAGUAACACGUGGGUGAUCUGCCCUGCACUUCGGGAUAAGCCUGGGAAACUGGGUCUAAUACCGGAUAGGAGCCAUUUUUAGUGUGAUGGUUGGAAAGUUUUUUCGGUGUAGGAUGAGCUCGCGGCCUAUCAGCUUGUUGGUGGGGUAAUGGCCUACCAAGGCGGCGACGGGUAGCCGGCCUGAGAGGGUGGACGGCCACAUUGGGACUGAGAUACGGCCCAGACUCCUACGGGAGGCAGCAGGGGGGAAUAUUGCACAAUGGGCGCAAGCCUGAUGCAGCGACGCCGCGUGGGGGAUGACGGCCUUCGGGUUGUAAACGCCUUUCGCUAGGGACGAAGCUUUUUGUGACGGUACCUAGAGAAGAAGCACCGGCUAACUACGUG